rnacentral:rRNA from 1 species
UGGGGAAUCUUGCCCAAUGGGCGAAAGCCUGAGGCAGCAACGCCGCGUGUGGGAUGACGGCCUUCGGGUUGUAAACCACUUUCAGCAGGGACGAAAUUGACGGUACCUGCAGAAGAAGCUCCGGCCAACUACGUGCCAGCAGCCGCGGUAAUACGUAGGGAGCGAGCGUUGUCCGGAUUUAUUGGGCGUAAAGCGCGCGUAGGCGGUUUGAUAAGCCGGGUGUGAAACCUCCAAGCUCAACUUGGAGCGGCCACUCGGAACUGUCAUGACUUGAGUCAGGUAGGGGAACACGGAAUUCCAGGUGUAGCGGUGAAAUGCUUAGAUAUCUGGAGGAACACCAGUGGCGAAGGCGGUGUUCUGGGCCUGUACUGACGCUGAUGCGCGAAAGCGUGGGGAGCGAACAGGAUUAGAUACCC